rnacentral:rRNA from 1 species
GUCUACGGCCAUGCCACCCUGAACAAGCCUGAUGUCUGAUCUCGGAAGCUAAGCAGGGUCAGGCCUGGUUAAUGCUUGGAUGGCAGACCACCUAGGAGGACCAGGUGCUGUAGGCA